UGGCGGACGGGUGAGUAAUGUCUGGGAAACUGCCUGAUGGAGGGGGAUAACUACUGGAAACGGUAGCUAAUACCGCAUAACGUCGCAAGACCAAAGAGGGGGACCUUCGGGCCUCUUGCCAUCGGAUGUGCCCAGAUGGGAUUAGCUAGUAGGUGGGGUAACGGCUCACCUAGGCGACGAUCCCUAGCUGGUCUGAGAGGAUGACCAGCCACACUGGAACUGAGAUACGGUCCAG
rnacentral:rRNA from 1 species